rnacentral:rRNA from 1 species
UACGUAGGGCGCGAGCGUUGUCCGGAAUUAUUGGGCGUAAAGAGCUCGUAGGCGGUUUGUCGCGUCUGCCGUGAAAGUCCGGGGCUCAACUCCGGAUCUGCGGUGGGUACGGGCAGACUAGAGUGAUGUAGGGGAGACUGGAAUUCCUGGUGUAGCGGUGAAAUGCGCAGAUAUCAGGAGGAACACCGAUGGCGAAGGCAGGUCUCUGGGCAUUAACUGACGCUGGAGGAGCGAAAGCAUGGGGAGCGAACAGGA